rnacentral:tRNA from 1 species
UCCUAGUUCAGUUGGUAGAACGUCGGAGUACAAAUCCGGAGGUUGUGGGCUCAAAUCCCGCAAAGAA